UACGUAGGGACCAAGCGUUGUUCGGAUUUACUGGGCGUAAAGGGUGCGUAGGCGGCGCGUCAAGUCAGUUGUGAAAUCUUAAGGCUUAACCUUAAGCGGUCAACUGAUACUGUCGUGCUAGAGUGCAGAAGGGGCAAUCGGAAUUCUUGGUGUAGCGGUGAAAUGCGUAGAUAUCGGGAGGAACACCAAUGGCGAAGGCAGCUCGCUGGGACGUUACUGACGCUGAGACGCGAAAGCGUGGGGAGCAAACAGG
rnacentral:rRNA from 1 species